rnacentral:misc_RNA from 1 species
GCACGCAUAACUACCUGACUGAAGAGAG